rnacentral:lncRNA from 1 species
AUACUUGGGAAUUAGGCCUUUGGGAAGCAACUUGGAUUAGAUGCCAUCACCAGGGUAGGUCUUUUUUUGUUUGUUUGUUUGUUUUGUUUUUUGUUUUUCAAGACAGGGUUUCUCUGUAUAGCCCUGGCUGUCCUGGAACUCACUCUGUAGACCAGGCUGGCCUCAAAUUCAGAAAUCCGCCUGCCUCUGCCUCCCGAGUGCUGGGAUUAAAGGCGCACACCACCACGCCCGGCUGCACCAGGGUAGGUCUUAUGAAGGCUUUAUACAAUGAAGAAGACACUCAAGUUUUUACCCCAGCUCUGUCUUGUCCUGGUGUGAUGCAAUCAAAAGGCUCCUAGCAGAUGCCUUUUGCUAAGAUACUCACUCUAUACUUUUGACUUCUCCAGCUCCAGAACCUAAAUCAACUCCUCUUCUUCACAAAUCACUCAGUCUUGGGUAUUUUGUUACAGUAACAGAAAAAAGGAGGGGGGAGAGGAGGAGGAGAAGGAGGAAAAGAAAAAGAAGCUCAGAAAGGUGGCAAUAAUAUUGGUCAUAGAUAAGGGAGCAAAAGGGAAUGGAGAAGCAUCUCACAACAAAGUUAAAAAACAUCGCUGCGCAGCUACUUUAAUAUUUCGAUUCAUUUCUGCCUCAU